rnacentral:rRNA from 1 species
UACGUAGGGUGCGAGCGUUGUCCGGAAUUAUUGGGCGUAAAGAGCUUGUAGGCGGUCUGUCGCGUCUGCUGUGAAAAUCCGGGGCUCAACCCCGGACUUGCAGUGGGUACGGGCAGACUAGAGUGUGGUAGGGGGAGACUGGAAUUCCUGGUGUAGCGGUGAAAUGCGCAGAUAUCAGGAGGAACACCGAUGGCGAAGGCAGGUCUCUGG